ACCGGACGACGCAUAGGGAUUUCUGGAGUCGAUCGAAGGGAGGGCGGUGAUGGCGGAGGCGGAGAAGAAGAGGGAGGCGGUGAUGGCGGAGGAGGAGAAGAGGAGGGAGGCGGGGAGACACGAGCUUGCGGAAUCCUUGGCCGAUCUCUUCACCAGUAUAUCCGCCAUGAUCAAAGGCGAACUCGAGGGAACAAAUAAUCAACUAUUGCUCCUGGAAAAAAUGAACCAGAGAGUAGCUGAGGAAUACAAUGGAUAUGGAGAUGUCGCAGCUGGCCUGAGAGUCUUUGUUGAGCAACUAUGUGAGAAAAAUCAUGGAUUUGAAGAGUAUGUCCAGCAAAUUGAGAAGAUAGACCAGCAACUUACUGAAUUUGAAGCUGUUGUAUCAAUGCUUGAUAAAUAUGUUUCUUUACUUGAAAAGAAGGUUUCUGACCAUAAUUCCACAAGUAGUAGCUAGUAUGGGAUUAGAUCAGUCUGAAGCCAGCAUUUCUGUGCAAAUUAGCCUCAGUAGACGUGCAAUCAGAAGACCUACCGGUACUAACAUGCUGAACACAAAGGGAAAUGGUUUGACUAUUUUACACCAAGACUCCUCGUGAUAACAAAUUGGCUUUAGAGCACUCCUAAGUCCGCUUAAAUGUCUGGGACCUCACUUUUUUUCCAUCCACCAUUGAUCACCGUGAUGAAAGAUCCUAUCUGGCAAUCAGGUGGCAGAAAAUUGCUUAGUCAGCUUCAAGGUAGCACAGGAGAUGACAUGUCUGACAAGUUAUCCAAGAAAAUUGGAAGGAUACCUCUUGUGUGUUGAUUCUUUUGCACGAUGACUCCUUGCAAGUUACUCCUGAAGAACUCCUGGUUCGUUGGAAUUUCCUCUGACCUCUUUGUGUUCAUCCACCAUGAUCGUAGACUCAUGAUUACAUUGUCCGGUCAACUGUGCUGAGAGAGCAAAACCGGGGAGUCUGAACAAGCUGGAAAGAGGUGAAAGGUCGAUACCAGCUAUGCCGGUGAUGCUCUAAGAGCCUCUUUGUUCUUUGGUGGAAGUCUGUGGGUGUGAAUUGCACUCAUCAAGACACUGCAAGGGGUUUCAUUUUUUUCUUCGUGAUAUGUUUGCCGAAGCUGUAAAUUAGCCAAUUAUGGUGGAACUCGAUGUCAUCAGUACCAUGGAAUGAAGUGACAUGCUAGCUGGCCAAGAUAGAGGGAUAAGAAAGAGGGGUAAUGUCUUCACAAUCUUCCAGUAAUUUUCCAGUAUGUUAUUAACCUCAGUCUGUACAGUGUUAUAACAGCAAAACUAGUGUGUUUCAGGAUCACCAUCUCCACUCCGUCAUGUCCGUCUGACCAAUCCUGCAAAUGUACACAAUAUAUUCAGCUCAAAUGUCUCUUAAAAUUACCAAAUAAAAGAGCGUCUAUAUGUACUACACUAAAUUAUAGUGGAAUAAAUAUGACAUGUGCAUAAAGUAAUAAAAGUAUUUAUUGUA